UACGGGAGGCAGCAGUGGGGAAUAUUGCACAAUGGGCGCAAGCCUGAUGCAGCCAUGCCGCGUGUAUGAAGAAGGCCUUCGGGUUGUAAAGUACUUUCAGCGGGGAGGAAGGUGCUGAGGUUAAUAACCUCAGCAAUUGACGUUACCCGCAGAAGAAGCACCGGCUAACUCCGUGCCAGCAGCCGCGGUAAUA
rnacentral:rRNA from 1 species